GAAAGGCAAGUUUCCCAAACUCUGACAGCAACACGGAACACCUGAGGCACGCUUACCCUCUAGUGGGGCCCAAGAAUCACGCCAAGCAGAUGAAGGAAGGGGCGGUGACGCAACUAGGCCUCCUGCAGCAGGGCCAGCCCAAGGCAGAGCGCGGCGGCCGUGACCCCGCAGCCGGCUCUCGGCGGCCGCCGCCUACGCCUCCCCCGGAGAAUGGCAUGUCCUUAUCUGGGGAUUCCAGAAUGGAGACGCUGUCUGGAGGAGAGUCUAGCAGUGGACCUGGAGUCAACACAUACAGCAAGCAAAAAAACAGUAACUCUUACCCUCAGCUGGAUCUGGUGACCCGAAGCUAGACCCCUUAAGUUUUGCUUUCUUCAGAGAAUCAGCCCAAGUCUUGCACUGGCGUGGGAGAGGGGCCGACACAAGAGUGCACCGGGAAGGAGGAAGACUGCUGCUUCAGCUAUUUCUCAAAUAGACUUUCAACCGAUCUUCCUAAUUUUAGCCCCACUUUUAUCCUCACUUCUGGAGCUCCCCGAUGCCAUAAAAUGCUGACCUUUGGGGGCUUCUGCAGUGCAUAUCAGGUUCCUUCUCACAUGUAAAUAUUUUUUUGAAGUCUGUCACUUAUCUUUGAACUUUGCAUAUGGUGUCAUUCAUUGUUUAGAAGUUUUUCAUUAUAAUGAGGUCAAAUCUGUCCAUCUUCCCUUUUCCUUUGGUUGUGUUCCAAUCACAAUUUAUUAAAUGAGCCUUCCUUUCCUCACUGAUUGGAACUGUCACAUUCAUAUACAUAAACUACCAUAAACUAAAUAUCCAUGUAUACAUGGUUCUCUUUCCAGACUCCAUUAAGUUCCAUCGAUUUUUGUAGAUUCCUGUACCAAUACCUUACUGUUUUAAUUGCUAUACAAUAAGAUUUUUCAGUAUCUGGCCAGUUGAGUACUCCCUUACCCUUGCUGUUAUUGUCCUUUUUUAGAAUGUUUCUGGUAUUCUUGCAAUUUUUAUUUAAUAUGAACUUUAAAAUUAGCUUGUCAAAAUCCACAACAAAUACUGCUGGGAUAUUGAUUGGGAUCGCAUUGAUUUUAUAUAUUAAUUUGGGGAGAAUCAGUAAACUUACAAUAUUGAAUCUUACAUUUAGGAACAUAAGGGGCCUUGUUCAGAUUGCCUGUGUUCAAAUCUUAUCUCCACCAUUUGCUAAAUAGACAUAAACUUUGGCAAGUUUAUUAAUCUCCCUAAGCCCCAGUUUCCUAAUCUAUAAAACUGGGGGUAAUGAUAACAGCGCCUCCCUCAAAAAAUUAAACAAUCCUCACAAAGCUCCUAGCAAGAUACAUGGCACCUGUAAGGAGUCAAUAAAUGUUCACAAUUAUUAUUAUAGCACAUGGCAAUGGACUGAAUGUUUGUCUCAGGAUUAAUAUUUCCCCUGUGAACUGCAAUGCCACUUCUGUCAUAUGUUGAGUUUCUGUUUAUUAACUAGUCUGUUUCUGGACUCUUGAAUCCAUUCCAUUUGUCUACAUAUCUAUCCCUGAGCCAACAUCAUUCAUUCAUUCAGUAUUUAUUGACCACCUACAAUGUGCAGGUCCUAAUUUAGGCACUUAGAAUGCAUCAGUGAACAAAACAGCUAACGAUCUUCCCCUCUAGUGGAAUCCCACAAUUAUCUUAAUUAUUAUAGCUUUAAAAUACGUCCUGAUUCUUGUUAUAUGAUUGGGCUAGUCCUCUUACUUUGUUUCAUUUUUUAAUAGUUAUGAUUAACUCUUUUUAAACACUUUUCGUUUUGAAAUAAUUCUAGAUUCACAGGAAUUUGCAAAUAAAAAAAAUUUACAGGGAAGCCUGGUGUACCCUCCACUCAGUUUCCUCUCAAGAUGUUAUCCCCAAGGUUUAUGCUAACAUCUUGCAUAACUACAGUAUAAUGUCAAAACCAGGAAGUUUACAUUGGUUCAAUCCACAAGGCUUAUUUAGAUUUCACCAGUUUUACAUGCUCACAUC
ensembl:lncRNA